AUGUGUGUACCAAAAGACCAAGGAGGAAUGGGUUUUCGAGACAUACAUUGUUUCAAUUUGGCCUUGUUAGCCAAACAAGCGUGGCGCCUGCUUGAUAAUCCCGAUUCUCUAUGUGCCACCAUUUUGAGAGCUAAAUAUUUUUCGGAUGGAGAUUUAAUGAAUGCCAGUCUUAAAAAAGGAUCUUCGUUCACUUGGCAAAGCAUUAUGGCGGGAGUGGAUUCUCUAAAAAAUGGUUAUAUUUGGAGAGUUGGAAAUGGACAAAAUAUAGAUAUUUGGAGAGAUGUAUGGAUCCCUAAUGGGGCCAAUAGGAAAAUUAUCACUCCUAGAAGAGGGCAGCUUCUGACAAAAGUUGCUGAUCUUAUAGAUCCAAUCAACAAUUGUUGGGAUGAAGAUUUGGUAAGACAAACGUUGUGGCCAAUUGAUGUCCAGAGGGUGCUUGCGAUCCCCCUCCCCACGUAUAACAUGUCAGAUUUCAUAGCUUGGAGUUUUACAAAGAAUGGA
rnacentral:rRNA from 1 species